AACGCACAUUGCGCCCCUUGGUAUUCCAUGGGGCAUGCCUGUUCGAGCGUCAUUUGUACCCUCAAGCUCAGCUUGGUGUUGGGCGUUUGUCCUGUCUUUAGCGCAUGGACUCGCCUCAAAUCAAUUGGCAGCCGGCAAUCUGGUGGCAGAGCGCAGCACAUUUUGCGCACUUCGCUUUGAAUGUCGGCGUCCAUGAAGGCUACAUUUUUUUGCGCUUGACCUCGGAUCAGGUAGGGAUACCCGCUGAACUUAA
rnacentral:misc_RNA from 1 species